CGCCUAACACAUGCAAGUCGCACGAAGGUAGCAAUACCUAGUGGCGCACGGGUGCGUAACACGUAGAUAAUCUGCCCAUCGGCGGGAGAUAACGUUCCGAAAGGAGCGCUAAUACCGCAUACAGCAGUUGGUGGUUCGCCACUGAUUGGCAAAGGCUGGGAUCGCAAGACCAGUCGCCGGAGGAGGAGUCUGCGGCCCAUCAGCUAGUUGGUAAGGUAACGGCUUACCAAGGCAAAGACGGGUAGCUGGUCUGAGAGGAUGAUCAGCCACACUGGUACUGGAACACGGACCAGACUCCUACGGGAGGCAGCAGUGGGGAAUCUUGGUCAAUGGGCGCAAGCCUGAACCAGCGACGCCGCGUGAGUGAUGAAGGCCUUCGGGUUGUAAAGCUUUGUGGGGCGAGACGAAAGCCUACGUUCUAACAGGACGUAGUUUGACGGUAUCGCCUUAGCAAGCACCGGCUAACUCUGUGCCAGCAGCCGCGGUAAGACAGAGGGUGCAGACGUUGCUCGGAAUCACUGGGCGUAAAGGGCGUGUAGGCGGGAAUGUAAGUCGGGCGUGAAAUCCCUAGGCUCAACCUAGGAACUGCACUCGAAACUGCGUUUCUUGAGUAUCGGAGAGGAAAGCGGAAUACCUGGUGUAGAGGUGAAAUUCGUAGAUAUCAGGUGGAACACCAGUGGCGAAGGCGGCUUUCUGGACGAUAACUGACGCUGAGACGCGAAAGCGUGGGGAGCAAACAGGAUUAGAUACCCUGGUAGUCCACGCCGUAAACGAUGAGUGCUAGGUGCUGUGGGUAUUGACCCCCGCGGUGCCGAAGCUAACGCAUUAAGCACUCCGCCUGGGAAGUACGGUCGCAAGACUAAAACUCAAAAGAAUUGACGG
rnacentral:rRNA from 1 species